CUAUGGGUGACCCUGCUAUCCCACACCCAACCCCGGGUGAGGCGUACGAAGAACUCUAUGAGCCCCUAGCCUACAACCCUGAUUCUAGGCCUCCAGACUCCCCUAUCACGGGUCAUGUCCUCGGAAACCUGCAUUCUAGUCAUGUCCUGCCUAAUCACCUCUCCCCAAUGCUUCUUAGGCCUCCCUUUUCCUCGCCGACGGCCAACAAUCUCCAGCCGCUCGCAGCUCCUCACCGG
rnacentral:lncRNA from 1 species